rnacentral:rRNA from 1 species
AGAAUCAACGCUGGCGGCGUGCCUAACACAUGCAAGUCGAACGAGAAAGUGGAGCAAUCCAUGAGUAAAGUGGCGCACGGGUGAGUAACACGUGACUAACCUACCCUUGAGUGGGGGAUAACCUAGAGAAAUCUGGGCUAAUACCGCAUAAUACCUUCGGGUCAAAGGAGCAAUUCGCUUAAGGAGGGGGUCGCGGCCGAUUAGUUAGUUGGCGGGGUAAUGGCCCACCAAGACUAUGAUCGGUAUCCGGCCUGAGAGGGCGCACGGACACACUGGAACUGAAACACGGUCCAGACUCCUACGGGAGGCAGCAGUGGGAAUUUGCGCAAUGGGGGAAACCCUGACGCAGCAACGCCGCGUGGAGGAUGAAGUCCCUUGGGACGUAAACUCCUUUCGAUCGGGACGAUAAUGACGGUACCGAGAGAAGAGCCCCGGCUAACUACGCGCCAGCAGCCGC